AUUGAACGCUGGCGGCAUGCCUUACACAUGCAAGUCGAACGGCAGCACGGGUGCUUGCACCUGGUGGCGAGUGGCGAACGGGUGAGUAAUACAUCGGAACAUGUCCUGUAGUGGGGGAUAGCCCGGCGAAGGCCGGAUUAAUACCGCAUACGAUCUACGGAUGAAAGCGGGGGACCUUCGGGCCUCGCGCUAUAGGGUUGGCCGAUGGCUGAUUAGCUAGUUGGUGGGGUAAAGGCCUACCAAGGCGACGAUCAGUAGCUGGUCUGAGAGGACGACCAGCCACACUGGGACUGAGACACGGCCCAGACUCCUACGGGAGGCAGCAGUGGGGAAUUUUGGACAAUGGGCGAAAGCCUGAUCCAGCAAUGCCGCGUGUGUGAAGAAGGCCUUCGGGUUGUAAAGCACUUUUGUCCGGAAAGAAAUCCUUGGCUCUAAUACAGUCGGGGGAUGACGGUACCGGAAGAAUAAGCACCGGCUAACUACGUG
rnacentral:rRNA from 1 species